rnacentral:rRNA from 1 species
AGGGCACCACCAGGAGUGGAGCCUGCGGCUUAAUUUGACUCAACACGGGGAAACUUACCCGGCCUGGACACUGGAAGGAUUGACAGAUUGAGAGCUCUUUCUUGAUUCAGUGGGUGGUGGUGCAUGGCCGUUCUUAGUUGGUGGAGCGAUUUGUCUGGUUAAUUCCGAUAACGAACGAGACUCUAGCCUAUUAAAUAGGCUCCCGGCUUUUAAACGCCGGGAGGACUUCUUAGAGGGACAGGUGGCGGUUCAGCCGCACGAAAGAGAGCAAUAACAGGUCUGUGAUGCCCUUUGUUGUCCGGGGCCGCACGCGCGCUACACUGAAGAGAUCAGCGUGCUUUAUGUUCCUGCUCCGACCGGAGUGGGGAACCCAGUGAACCUUCUUCGUGAUUAGGAUAGAAGAUUGUAAUUAUUCUUCUUGAACGAGGAAUUCCCAGUAAAUGCGAGUCAUAAGCUCGCGUUGAUUACGUCCCUGCCCUUUGUACACACCGCCCGUCGCUACUACCGAUCGAACGAUUU